AGCGAACGCUGGCGGCAGGCUUAACACAUGCAAGUCGAACGCUCACCUUCGGGUGGGAGUGGCAGACGGGUGAGUAACACGUGGGAACGUGCCCUUCGGUUCGGAAUAACCCUGGGAAACUAGGGCUAAUACCGGAUACGUCCGAGAGGAGAAAGGUUUACUGCCGAAGGAUCGGCCCGCGUCUGAUUAGCUAGUUGGUGGGGUAACGGCCUACCAAGGCGACGAUCAGUAGCUGGUCUGAGAGGAUGAUCAGCUACACUGGGACUGAGACACGGCCCAGACUCCUACGGGAGGCAGCAGUGGGGAAUAUUGGACAAUGGGCGCAAGCCUGAUCCAGCCAUGCCGCGUGAGUGAUGAAGGCCUUAGGGUUGUAAAGCUCUUUUGUCCGGGACGAUAAUGACGGUACCGGAAGAAUAAGCCCCGGCUAACUUCGUGCCAGCCGCCGCAGUAAUAC
rnacentral:rRNA from 1 species